rnacentral:rRNA from 1 species
GCUUAGGGAGGAGCUUGCGUCACAUUAGUUAGUUGGUGGGGUAAAGGCCUACCAAGACUAUGAUGUGUAGCCGGGCUGAGAGGUUGAACGGCCACAUUGGGACUGAGACACGGCCCAAACUCCUACGGGAGGCAGCAGUAGGGAAUUUUCGGCAAUGGAGGAAACUCUGACCGAGCAACGCCGCGUGAACGAUGAAGUAUUUCGGUACGUAAAGUUCUUUUAUUAGGGAAGAAUAAAUGAUGGAAAAAUCAUUCUGACGGUACCUAAUGAAUAAGCCCCGGCUAACUAUGUGCCAGCAGCCGCGGUAAUACAUAGGGGGCAAGCGUUAUCCGGAAUUAUUGGGCGUAAAGGGUGCGUAGGCGGUUAAAUAAGUUUAUGGUCUAAGUGCAAUGCUCAACAUUGUGAUGCUAUAAAAACUGUUUAGCUAGAGUAAGAUAGAGGCAAGUGGAAUUCCAUGUGUAGUGGUAAAAUGCGUAAAUAUAUGGAGGAACACCAGUAGCGAAGGCGGCUUGCUGGGUCUUUACUGACGCUGAGGCACGAAAGCGUGGGGAGCAAACAGGAUUAGAUACCCUGGUAGUCCACGCCGUAAACGAUGAGUACUAAACGUUGGGUAAAACCAGUGUUGAAGUUAACACAUUAAGUACUCCGCCUGAGUAGUACGUACGCAAGUAUGAAACUUAAAGGAAUUGACGGGACUCCGCACAAGCGGUGGAUCAUGUUGUUUAAUUCGAAGGUACCCGAAAAACCUCACCAGGUCUUGACAUGCUUCUGCAAAACUGUAGAAACACAGUGGAGGUUAUCAGUUGCACAGGUGGUGCAUGGUUGUCGUCAGCUCGUGUCGUGAGAUGUUGGGUUAAGUCCCGCAACGAGCGCAACCCUUAUUGNUAGUUACCAGCACGUAAUGGUGGGGACUUUAGCAAGACUGCCAGUGA